rnacentral:rRNA from 1 species
GUGGGGAAUAUUGGACAAUGGGCGAAAGCCUGAUCCAGCCAUGCCGCGUGUGUGAAGAAGGUCUUCGGAUUGUAAAGCACUUUAAGUUGGGAGGAAGGGCAGUAAGUUAAUACCUUGCUGUUUUGACGUUACCGACAGAAUAAGCACCGGCUAACUUCGUGCCAGCAGCCGCGGUAAUACGAAGGGUGCAAGCGUUAAUCGGAAUUACUGGGCGUAAAGCGCGCGUAGGUGGUUCAGUAAGUUGGAAGUGAAAUCCCCGGGCUCAACCUGGGAACUGCCUCCAAAACUGCAUGACUAGAGUACGGUAGAGGGUAGUGGAAUUUCCUGUGUAGCGGUGAAAUGCGUAGAUAUAGGAAGGAACACCAGUGGCGAAGGCGACUACCUGGACUGAUACUGACACUGAGGUGCGAAAGCGUGGGGAGCAAACAGGAUUAGAAACCCGUGUAGUCC